rnacentral:rRNA from 1 species
AUGGGUCUCUCAGAUGCAAUGCAAUGGUGGGAUGAGUGGAAGCUGCGCGUCCUCGUCUUGGGCAGCCUCUCUGUCCAGUUCUUCCUCUACUUCUCUGAUUUGGUGCGUCUAUGGUAUAAGCUACGCUGGUUGAGGAUGCUGGUGUGGAUGGCGCACAUAGGCGGGGAUGCGUUGGCGGUCUACGCUCUCGCCACCCUCUUCAACCGCCAAAAGCAGCUAACUGCUGAUGGAGGGAGCGAGGCUCUGGAGCUCAUAUGGGUGCCUAUCCUCCUCAUUCACCUUGGAGGCCAGAGCAUAAGUGCCUACAGCCUCGAGGACAAUGAGCUUUGGAUGCGGCAUGCCAUAACUCUGGUGUCCCAAGUCGUGGUCGCCUUGUACAUCUUCUGCAAGUGGUGGUCCGGCCAGAAGAGGCUCCUGCAGGCGGCAGUCUUGCUCUUUGUGGUUGGCAUCCUCAAGUUCAGUCAGAAGCCAUGGGCCCUCAGGAGCGCCAGCUUCAAUAGCAUGGCCUCCAGAAGUCUCUCCGUGCCAAGAGAUAAAGGAUCCUUCACUCCAUGGUGGGCAUGGUGCACUACGGAUUGCUUGGAUUUUAUUUCAGCAAGAAUGAAGACAGGAGAGCAAGAACACAAAUGCAACCUUUCACUCCAAGACUAUGUAAAAGAGGCAAGGAGUAUUGUAGUACAAGAGAAGGAGGUACCAAGUGAAAGUGCCCGUAGGCUGGACCACAUCUGUAUGAUGCUUGUGGACCUAUCUUGUCGGGACCCCAUUCGUCUUAACUAUCUGCAGUAUUUCCUCAAGUUGGAUGACGAGGGUGUACACAAAGGUCUACGGACGUGGGUUUGGGAUACAUAUAGGAUCCUUUACACCAGAAUGAGAUCAUACCAAACUCCUCUUGGCUUAUGCUCAGUGUGGUUUCUUCCUUUCCUGGCCUUGGCUUCCCUGGUGCUCUUCGCCAAGAGUGACAAGGAUGGUUACAAUGACAAGGACAUUACAGUAUCAUACAUCCUGUUGGGUUGCACAGCCAUGAUUCAGUUCGCCGCCUGGUUUGCACCCUUUUUGCGCAUGCCUUGCGACAUCUCGGGCAGACUCAAACUUGCUACUUGGCAAGACAUGGUUUCACAGCAAAACCUCAUGUCAUUUUGUGCUCGCGAGAAGCAGCAGCCCACCACCACUUUCAUGAAAAUUGUUGCUUGCAUGUGUCCCAUGGAGUACAUUAACAAGCAUUGCUACAAUUGGCAAGAGACUGCGGCUCUCCAGAUUGAAGUGCUGAUUUGCGAGUACAUAAAAGAUGGGUGGAAGGAGUAUAUAAGUGGUCCUACCACAUACAGAAGAUUCAAUAAUUUCAGGGGGCAACACACUCUGUCGAGGCACCCUCAACAUCUUUGGAGCCUCGAAGAACUAGGAUUCGAUGACACUGUUCUUGUGUGGCACAUAGCCACGGAUCUCUGCUUCCACCACCCUGACACAUCCUCCCAGCAAGGUCCAAGUGGAGACACCAUCCUACGCAGCACGCAGAUAUCCAACUACAUGAUCUACCUGAUUUUCGUGUGUCCUGAGAUGCUAAUGGCAGGGACGAGGCAAGAUUUGUUCACAGUUGCUUGCAAUGACAUCAAGGCCAUUCUCACGGACCAGGACGAUCCACAGGGCAUUGCACGGCAGAUUCUUCUCAUGGAACGAGAUGCACUUAAAGGAAUUGUGGUUCAGUAUGCACACAAACUCGCCAAGCAACUCAUGGACCACCCCAACGAGGAACAGAGGUGGAAGGUGAUCCAAGGUGUGUGGGUGGAGAUGCUCUGCUAUUCUGCCAGUAGAUGCAGGGGCUACCUGCAUGCCAAGAGCCUGGGUGAAGGUGGGGAGUUCCUUACAAAUGUCUGGUUCUUAUGGUCGUUCAUGGGAAUGGAAAUCCUGGGCGACAAGAUCAACCAGCCUCUUGAAAAAGAAGGAAUCACAGAUGCUCUCGUGUGA